rnacentral:lncRNA from 1 species
GUGCGGAGCCCGGCCUCUCUGGCGUCCCCUGGCGCGGUCGGCGGGGCAACUCGCCUUUCCCGCCCCCCCCCCUUUUUUUUUAAAUAAUCAUAAAUCACCUUUUUUUUCCCCCCCCUUUUUUUAUAGUAAAUAACGCGGCUCUGUUUGCCAGCGCGCUGAGGAGAGGGUGGGCGGGAGGCCCCCUGCUAGGCGGGCUGCCUGUGUUUCACACCGUCGUUUUCCAACUUACCUCGCUGCGCGCGAAGAGGGCGUUUGCCUGACAGAAAUACCUCGUGGGCCUGCGCGGUGGGGCUCGAAACUCGGAGAUAAAAUCGGGAAAAUUCGGGCAGUGGCUGGAAGGCAGAGCAGAUGUUGCAAGUUUAUCCUAAGCCUGAAACGGAAUAUUGUUUGAGGUGGUGGCUGCGCAGUCAGAGCCACGACAGUCAGCUCGGCCCCGGUGGGCUCACAGCGGUUUUCCGUGUGAAAACCAUCACAGCGAGYGAACAGAAGAGUGGUGAGCAACAAUAGAGAAGCAGAGGUAACUGGAUGUGGAGUGGAAAUGUAUGCCCACACCAACUAAAUGCUUUCUGGAUUCUUCUCUUUAAGUGGACAGCUCUGCUAUGGCUUUGAAGAAAACACUGAAACCAAAGUUGAUAAGCAAUGCAGCGGUGCUGGCCUGAGUCCACAGAAGGUGUGCAGCAGUAGCUCUGAGAGGUAAGGUGCUCCUCUGUCUUACUGCUGACAUAUCACAGCUAUCAGCA